UUUGGCCCCGGAUUAGGCUCCUAAUGAUAAUUAGGGGAAAGCGGCAGGGUGCAGCCCAUAGGUUGGAGAUCCUGUGGGAUCCGGACAAAACUGAACAGCCUUUACCUUGUCCCGUUUCCGCUUUUUGAUCCCAUACCAGCUCUGUCUUUCUAAAAAGCAUGGAUGUCUUAGAAUAGAAUGCCUCCCCUUGCUUCCCUCUCCCACCCUCUUCCCUCCCCCCAAGCCACCCUCCCAUCUCGAUUUCUCAGUAUCCCCAAUUAUAACAACAUAGCUGUAUUGUAUCCAUUUUCUAGGGCGUGCAUAAUGAAAUACCACAGACGAGAUGCAGAACGACGGAAAUUAAUUUUCUCAGCUUCUUCAGGCUAAACGUUCAAGAUCAAAGUGUUGACGGGUUUGGCUUCUCCUGAGGCCUCUGUCCUUGGCUCACAGAUAGCCACCUUCUCCCUGUGUCCUCACAUGGCUUCUUCUCUGUGCUGUUGCCUCCCUGGUAUCUUUUCCUCUUCUUAUGAUGGCACCAGUCAUAUUGGAUCAAGGUCCCAUUUUUAUGACCUCAUUUAGCCUUAAUUACGCCCUUAAAGGUCCUCUAAGUCCCUACAUAGUCACAUGGGGGGGUGGGCUUAGGGCUUCCACAUAUGAACUGGGGGGAAUACAAUCCAUUCCAUAACAGGUAUCGAACAGCAACCUCCAGAAGGUCCACUUGAAUAGGUACGCAGGUAUUCCUGACAGGGACACUGUACAAGCCACAGAUGACACCCACCGCUAAUGUGGGUGUGUUCGCAAGGCGGCCACAGCAAGCCCAGACACAGCCUUGCAAGACUAUGGGCACGGCCCACACAGUGACACAGAGCUGACUUGCUGGAUGAGCGGGGACGAGAGGUAGGAGUUCCAGUGGCUCCAGCACUGGCUAGGAGCCAGAAACAGCAUCUUUGCCCUCUUCGCCCAGAACCCUGGGUGGCAGUGGGAUAGAGGAGGAACACUAAUGAAGAGAUAUUCCUGGGCUAAGCAGAGCAGAAGGAUGAGAGCCAAGCCAUUCCAACCUUUGACCUCUCCCCUCCUCCUCCCGAGGAUUUGAUUUGUCUUAAACAGAUGACCAAAAACCCUGAGGGGAGAGAUGCCACCUGACCAGCCUCAGGACUGGGUGCCAUCAACAAGUCAAAGUAGACAGAGUGAGAUCCUUUGUCCCCACCCCACCCCCAGCAUGCCCCCUGGGUCCUAGUGGUUGCGUUUCUUCCACAACUCCGAAGGACACAGAGUUUUCUCUUACGGGUAGCCGAAGGAGAAGUCAGAGAGAUUCGAAGCCUGAAGGAGAUUUCAUGUGCGGGGGCCAGGGCGCUUGAGAGACCUCUCCACCCUCCCUCUACAAGGACCUGGAUUCUGCCAACAACCUGAAUGAGCUCAGAGGUGGCUCCAUCCCCAGAAGCCCCGAGGAAGAGCUCAGCCUGGACAGCACCUUGACUGCAGCUUAGGAGACCUCGAGCAGAGAACCCUGUUGAGCCCACCUGCGGAACUGUGAGCAAAUAAAUGGGUGUUGUCUUA